UCUGCUGGGGAAGCCUGUUCAUAGAAAUCUUAUUUGGCUGUUUAUUGAAGAGACAGGGAUGGAGACUCUCCUGCAAGCACUUGUAGGGAUACUGGGCUUGCAGGCAGCCUGGGUCAGUAGCCAAGUACUGCUGCAGAGUCCUCGGUCUCUGAGCAUCCAAGAGGGAGAGAAUCUCACCAUAAAUUGCAAUUCAUCACAGUCUUUAUAUGCCUUACACUGGUAUAGGCAGAACUAUGAUGGAGAGUUCAUCUUCUUGAUGCUAUUUCGUAAAGGCGGAGAAGAGAAAAGCCAUGAAAAAUUAACUGCCAAGUUGGAUGCAAAAAUGCAGCAAAGCUCCCUGAGCAUCACAGCUGCUCAGCCCAGCCACUCGGGCACCUACUUCUGUGGAGGAGAGGCACAGUGA